CGAGGCUGCUGGAUGUCUGCGAGCACAAACCACAGCGUGGCUUCCCAUGGCUGGAACCCAACAAGGGCGGUUUGGUUUCCUCUGCACUGAUUGAUGAUGGCUUCUAAUAGCUCUUGGACCCUGGGGAACUGGAGCUUCAUGGCAGAGCAGCUCAGACAAAGGCCAAAAGGAGGAGAUGAGAAAGAAAUCACUGUGAAAAUAUGCUCUGAAAAAUGUAUUGGCUUGCAACACUCCAUGGAAGUUCUCAAAGCAAGAAAAUCUUUAUUGAGAAACUGAAAAAUAUUCUCCCAGUCUUUUUUUUUUCACAGGCAAAAGAAUAGAAGUAUGUUAACCCAACCAAUAUUUGGUUGGUUGGUGGUUGGUUGCUGGAAAAUCAAGUGAAAUGGGAAGAGGUCCAUUGAUUGCCGCUAAAGCCAUCUGUGUGCUUGGGCAGCCUCUCCCUGGCCCUGCUGGGCAGCAGCUGAUGGUUCACGUGCUUUUCACAUUUUUAGUUGAUUUUUUUUUUUUUUCCAGACAACUUGGAUUUCACUUGAAAUCUGUCUGGCAGGACCUGGCCUCCAGCCUGCUUGGAACCCAUGGAGAUUAAUGACAUGGAAAAUGAGGAACGCUGACUGUAAAGCUCUGAAACUGUGGGAAAAGGCAGCUUAGAGCCAGGCUUCGGUGAGGAGGUGUGUGACUUGGUCUGGGAUGGUGUUUGGAGAGGCAAAGGCUCCUGCUGCUCUUUCAAGGGAACAGCCUCGUAUUUAAUAAGAACUCUCUCCUCACAAUGGAACUGGAGUGUUUCAAGUACAGCAAGUCCUUUCCUUCCCCUCCUGGCGGUGUGAUCCAGGUUUCUGUGGUCAAGGACGUGUUCGUGAAAAUAUGGACAGCACGAGUUGGAGGAGGAAUCAGCCAGGAACUCCCUUCUCUGAUUCCAUCUCCUGUGAGAUGUUCUGUGAGGAGGAGGAAGGUGCUCACCCUGUUCAGAUUGGGAGGGGGAGGUUGGGGUCUCCAGCAGCAGGAGGAACAUAGAAUCGUAGAACAUCCUGAGUUGGAAGGGACCCAUGGGGAUCAUCGAGUCAAACAGCGGGUCUCUGCUUGGGAAUGGGGAUGCAGGUGAUGUUCCUCUGGCCUGGCUCCAUUGGGCUUUCCAGCCACAGGGAACAUGAGUCACCUCCCUGUCACAGGAAACAACACUGAGAUGUGUCUUAAAAUCACCUCUUGUUUAAUGCUGUUAAGAAGGAAUAAGCAGGGUGGGUUAGAUUAUACCAGCAAGGAAGGGUUUAUGUAGCAUGGGACAUGGGAAAGUAGCACCUGAGACAAUAUGAGCCAUGCAUGAGAAGUCACUGUCAUGUGCUUUUUCUUGAGAUCUAAAGAGAGAGGCUGAAGAAAUGCAGAUUUACACACUUAUUUGUGCCCAGACAACAGGCUC
rnacentral:lncRNA from 1 species